AGUAACAUCCGGAAACGGGUGCUAAUACCGCAUAGUUUUCUUGAUCGCAUGAUUGAGAAAGGAAAGACGGCCUUUGUGCUGUCGCUUAUGGAUGGACCCGCGGCGUAUUAGUUAGUUGGCGAGGUAACGGCUCACCAAGACGAUGAUACGUAGCCGACCUGAGAGGGUGAUCGGCCACAUUGGACUGAGACACGGCCCAAACUCCUACGGGAGGCAGCAGUAGGGAAUCUUCCGCAAUGGACGAAAGUCUGACGGAGCAACGCCGCGUGAGUGAAGAAAGGUUUUCGGAUCGUAAAACUCUGUUGUCAGAGAAGAACAAGUUGGAGAGUAACUGCUCCAGCCUUGACGGUAUCUGACCAGAAAGCCACGGCUAACUACGUGCCAGCAGCCGC
rnacentral:rRNA from 1 species